GAGAAAGUCACAAAGGUUAUGGAGUUUACUUAAAAUAAAAUUUUUGAGGGUUUGAUUCCUUUCUUUUUUG
rnacentral:tRNA from 1 species